rnacentral:rRNA from 1 species
UACGAGAGGCCCAACCGUUAUUCGGAUUUACUGGGCUUAAAGAGUUCGUAGGCGGUCCGUCAAGUGAGGUGUGAAAGCCCUCGGCUCAACCGAGGAAUUGCGCUUCAAACUGUCGGGCUCGAGGGAGAUAGAGGUGAGCGGAACUGAUGGUGGAGCGGUGAAAUGCGUUGAUAUCAUCAGGAACACCAGAGGCGAAGGCGGCUCACUGGGUCUCUUCUGACGCUGAGGAACGAAAGCUAGGGGAGCAAACGGG